rnacentral:rRNA from 1 species
GACGACCGCUGGCGGCGUGCUUAACACAUGCAAGUCGAACGGAAAGGCCCCGCUUUUGUGGGGUGCUCGAGUGGCGAACGGGUGAGUAACACGUGAGUAACCUGCCCUUGACUUUGGGAUAACUUCAGGAAACUGGGGCUAAUACCGGAUAGGAGCUCCUGCUGCAUGGUGGGGGUUGGAAAGUUUCGGCGGUUGGGGAUGGACUCGCGGCUUAUCAGCUUGUUGGUGGGGUAGUGGCUUACCAAGGCUUUGACGGGUAGCCGGCCUGAGAGGGUGACCGGCCACAUUGGGACUGAGAUACGGCCCAGACUCCUACGGGAGGCAGCAGUGGGGAAUAUUGCACAAUGGGCGGAAGCCUGAUGCAGCAACGCCGCGUGCGGGAUGACGGCCUUCGGGUUGUAAACCGCUUUCGCCUGUGACGAAGCGUGAGUGACGGUAAUGGGUAAAGAAGCACCGGCUAACUACGUG